rnacentral:lncRNA from 1 species
GUCGUAACCGUACGCUCUGCCCGGGAAGCACGAAGCGAUAAAGUUACUGCCCAACGGCGCUGCUCAUUCAUUGAAUUGGGACACAUGUCAGUCAGGCCUUCAAUGGCUAGAUCAGAGAUUCAGGACAUACAAAUAAAGCCACUGUACGUGAAGACCUCAAUAGAACAUAAUAGUGGGUCUGUCUAUAUUUCAUCUAGAUGUGAGAUAUUAUCUCACAUCUAAGAUAACAACACAACUAUUUGUGGACCACCUAUAGUUUGUCUUUUUUGUUCAGCCCAACACGUUGUUGUCUCUUUUUCUGGAGAAACAGCACGUUGUUGUCUUGUCCAGCAACGUCCGCUCAUGGACACCUUCCGUAUCAAGAUAAAGCCCUGUCGUUGCUGCUGGGCCUUGUAGUUGUUGCUGGGCCUGACUAGUUUUAGUUGUUUUUUGUUGCUCUUGUUUGAUUCGGUCUGUCUCUGCUUGUUUCUGUCUGGACUCUUGAUCGCUGUAGUGCAACAACAAAAAGGGAGAAAAUGAUUAAUGAAAAGAAAAGCAAUGCGAAAAAAGCGGGCGCAAAAGGCAAAAAAAUAAAAAUAAAUGUUUAUAGUUUUGCGACUGAAAAACAAGAAAAUAAGUACAGGAGAAGGUACCUUCUUUGUUCGCUUCCGAAUGGUCCUUCUUCCAUCUUUUCUCUCAUUACUCCUACUGAACUACAGCAAGUUGAAAAAGAAAAAAAAAAGGAUAAAGGUGGGUUACACGAAAAAACUGCUCUUAAUUUUUACUUGGGAAUAAAAACACCAUCGAAAAUUAUUACCAGUGUUUUCAAUCCCUCAAACAACAAGUUAUCAAUUAGAUUGACAUUCACAUGUUUUCCUUCAUACUCAAUGUCUUGAAGAAAAAUGUCCCGUUUAACAAAAUGAACAAAACGUAGCGCUAGAGUGAAACCGGUUGUCCCAUUUAACAGAACAAAAAUAUACUUGUAGACAAUCAUUGUCUGGAAUGAUGCAUGACAUAGAAAAAAAUAAAUUGUAUUAUAGGAGUUGACCAAACAAAAAAGGAAGUUAAAAUCUGAGCACGUGGUAUGAAAGUGAUAAACAAAAGCUGGACUAUCGUCAAAUUCAAACUCUCAAACAAAGACUUCGUCGGCUCUCUACUAUUUUGUACUAGUCAUAUAAGCCUAUACGUUUUGAACGGGUUUACUCUACACGCUUGUAUGGCUCAAAUGCAUGAUUGCCACUGUUACGACUCCAUCAGAAGUGAAGAAUGACCAGAGUUACCUACUCCCGGUUAGUUCAAAUGUAUUUGUUCUACAAAAUUGGUACAAACAUUGAGACCUCUUACUGCCUAAAUUAACCCGAUCAUUUGACGAGUCGUGUAUCAAAUGAAAAUCUAAACAAAAAUAACUUAUUUGUGACAUAGGUAACAAAAAUGCAGAUCAAAAGAACUGGGUACAUAGCAUCACUAGUAAUGGUUCAUGGCGUCUAAAUCCACAAAUAAAUAUGGCAUCAUUAAACAAACAAAUAUUCACAACUUCAGAAAUGGUGGCAAAAAAUACUUCUACGUAUAGGUAGCUGAUAACAAAAUUUAAACCUAUUACAACUCCCAACAAUCACGAAUUGUAAAACAUGUGGCCAAAAAGCAUAAAAAACAAGCAGACGAGUUAGUAGUUACCAUUAUUUAAACACACUAAACUUAUGUUCCUAUGAGUGUAGCAUUUUAUUAUAUAACACACAAAAACCGGUAGCAAGCUUUCCCCCGAACAGAAGCAUCAAAAAAUGCAUACCUACAUGGUCAUCGCCCUGGGACUUUUCACCACGUCUCUGCCCUCCAACUAGCCUUAUAUGUUCCUAAAAAAAUGUCAAGUUGUUUCUAAAAAACGCUUAUACAAAAAGAUGUGACUCAAAAAAUGGUGUGUCCCAUUUUGUAUACCACAAUGACAUUUCAAAAAAUAGGUUAAGAAAUAAAAUCAACGUGUCGGGGAUUAAAAAACAUGUAAAUUGCUGGCUUUUUUUUUUGAAAAAACAUAACACUCUAAAAGUUGGGUCCCCCAGACUCGGCUGCAUUUUGAAAAAAUGGGUUGGGCCCACAAAAACACAUAACAAAACAAAAAGUGUUAAGCUAUAAUUGGGAUGAAAAAACAAACUAGGACAAAGUUGGGGGUUGAAGUUGCGACUGGGACGGCAAAAUAAUAGUUACAGGCCCAAUUGCGAAUUGAGCGUGGAUUUGCAACUAGGAUAACUACCAUUACAUGCUCGAUUGCUAGUCGGGGUUGGACUAGCAAUUGGGACUCCCUACAAAGGCACUGUUGUGAGUCAAGGAUGGGCAUGCAACUGGGGCAACUACACUACUACAAGCGCAGUUGCAACUACAACUACAAAGGCUAGUUGCAAGUCGAUUGGGGACUUGCAACUUGGGUGCCUAGAUACAACUACAAAGGCCCUGUUGUGAGCCGAGGGAUGACUAGCAAUUGGUGCAAUUUCAACUUGAAGCCCCAGUUGCGAGUCUAGGGUGACCAUGUUACCGGGGCAACUACACUACUACAAGACCCAGUUUGCGAGUCAAGGGUGGACUUGCAAUUGGGGCAACAACUUCAAAAAAGCCCCUAGUUGCGAGUGAAGGGUGACUUGCAACUGGGGCAAUUACGACUACAAAAGCCCAAGUUGCGAGUCAAGGGUGGACUUGCAACCGGAGCAACUACAAAUAGAGUGUCCUAGCUGCAAGUCAAUGCUAGACUUGUAACUGGGGCAACUACAACUACAAAAGCCCAAGUUACGAGUCAAGGGUGGACUUGCAACUGGAGCAACUACAACUACAAAAAAUUCGUAGUUGCGAGUCAAGGGUGGAUACGCAACUGGGGCAACUACACUACUACAAGCCCCAAUUGCGAGUCGAGUAUGCACUUGCAAUUGGGUCACCUACAACUACAAAAAAAGGCCCCAAUUGUGAGUCAGUGGUUGACAUGCAACUGGGGCAAAUAUACCUAAAAAAUAUUCCAAGUUGGGAGUCAAAGGUAGACUUGCAACUAGGACGGAUAUCGAGUUGUGAGUCGAUGGAGGACUUGCAACUAGGGCGAGUAUCGAGUUGCGAGUCCAUAGUGGACUUACAACUGAGGUGAUUACAAAAACUACGGUUCCAAGUUGCGAGUCGAGGGGUGAUUUGCAAGUGGGGCAAUUACAAAACUACGGCCCCACUUGCAACUGGGUGGAGUUGCAAUUGGGCCGACUACAAAAGUACACGGAAAACCCCGCUAGUUGCGAGUCGAUGGGCCAUUUGCAAGUGGCAUGAGACAAAAAGAACAAAAAGAACUAUGGCCCGAGUUGCGAGUGAUGGUGGACUUGCAACUGGGUCGAAUGAAAAUCUACGGGUUCCAAGUUGCGAGUCGAUGGUAGACUUGCAACUGGGGCGACUACAAAAGUACACGGACCCCCUGGUUGCGAGUCGAGAGCCGAUUUGCAAGUUUCAUGAAACAAGGCACAAAAAACAGCUCUCGAGUUGCGAGUCAAUGAUGGACUUGCAACUAGAGCGGGUACCGAUUUGCGAGCCGAUGGUGGACUUGCAACUGGGGUGCUUACAAAACUACGCCCCUCAGUUGCGAGUCAAUGGUAAACUUGCAACUGGGCCGACUACAGAAGUACAUGGAAAACCCCGCUAGUUUCAUGUCGAGGGGCGAUUUGCAAGUGGCAUAAGACAAAAGGAACAAAAACAACCCUCGAGUUAUGAGUCGAUGGUGGACUUGCAACUGGACAAAUACAAAAACUAGACAAAGAACCACAGUNNNNNNNNNNNNNNNNNNNNNNNNNNNNNNNNNNNNNNNNNNNNNNNNNNNNNNNNNNNNNNNNNNNNNNNNNNNNNNNNNNNNNNNNNNNNNNNNNNNNNNNNNNNNNNNNNNNNNNNNNNNNNNNNNNNNNNNNNNNNNNNNNNNNNNNNNNNNNNNNNNNNNNNNNNNNNNNNNNNNNNNNNNNNNNNNNNNNNNNNNNNNNNNNNNNNNNNNNNNNNNNNNNNNNNNNNNNNNNNNNNNNNNNNNNNNNNNNNNNNNNNNNNNNNNNNNNNNNNNNNNNNNNNNNNNNNNNNNNNNNNNNNNNNNNNNNNNNNNNNNNNNNNNNNNNNNNNNNNNNNNNNNNNNNNNNNNNNNNNNNNNNNNNNNNNNNNNNNNNNNNNNNNNNNNNNNNNNNNNNNNNNNNNNNNNNNNNNAGUCGAUGAUGGACUUGCAACUAUGGCGAAUACAAAACUUGACAAAAGAACCACGGCUACAAGUCAAGGGGGUGCUUGCAAUAAACUCAAAAAGAACUACAACCCGAGUUGUGAGUCGACGGUGGACUUGCAACUAGGCCAAAUGCAAUCUACGGGUCCCGAGUUGCGAGUCGAUGGUAGACUUGCAACUGGGGCGACUGCAGAAGUACACAGAAACCCCCUCCUAGUUGCGAGUCGAGGGUCGAUUUGCAAGUGGCAUGAGACAAAGAAGAAAAAACAGCCCUCGAGUUGCGAGUCGAUGGUGGACUUGCAAUUAGGGCGGUUACCGAGUUGCGAGUCGAUGGUGGUCUUGCAACUGGGGUGAUUACAAAAACUACGACCCCGAGUUGCGAGUGGAUGGUCGAUUUGCAAGUGGGGCGACUACAAAAGUACAAAAGAGCCCACUUGUGAGUCGGUGGUGGACUUGCAACUUGGACAAUUACAACUACAAAUCCUUAGUUGCGAGUCGAGGAUGGACAUAAAACUGGGGCAACUAUACUACUACAAUUCCUAGUUGCAAGUCGAGGGUGCACUUGCAACUAGGGCAACUACACUACUACAAUCCCAAUUGCGAGUAGACGGUGCACUUGCAACUGGGGCACCUACCACCCCCGGUUGCGAAUCAAGGGUCGACUUGCAACCGAGAGGAAAAAAAUUAUGGACCCAGUUGCAAGUCAAGGGUGGACAUUGUAUCUGUGAUGAAAAAAACACAGUGUCUAUUUGCGAGUCGAGGGUUGGCGUGCAACUAGAACUACUACGAGCCCGGUUUGUGAGUUGACAGUGAACUACAAAACUGCGAGCAUAGUUGCGACUCAAGGGUCGACUUGCAACUGCGACGAAACAAACUACGAGACCAGUUGCUAGUCAAUGGUGAACAUUCUCAACUAGGAUGAAAAACAAAGCACAUGCCAAGCUGCGAGUCAAGGGUGGACUUGCAACUGAGAUGAGACAAAGUAUGUGCCUAAUUGUGAGUCGAGGAUGGACUUGCAACUAAGACAACUAAGAAACUACAAGACUAGUUGCGAGUCAAGAGUCGACAUGCAACUGUGACGAAACAAACUGCAAGCCUAGUUGCGAGUCAAGAGUGGACUUGUAAACUAUGAGCAAAAUAACACAUGCUCCAGUUGCGAGUAGAUGAUGGGCUUGCAACUGGGACAACUACGAACCCAAUUGCGAGUUAAGGGGGGACAGGCAACUAGAAGAACUAUAAAACUAAGAGCCCCGUCGCAACUCAAGCCUUGACUUGCAACUAGGAUGAAAAAAACUACGAGCCCAGUUGGAGUUAACAGUGGACCUGCAACUAGGAUGAAAAAUAAAACACAUGUCGGGCUGCGAGUCAAUGUCGGGCUUGCAAGUGGGAUGAAACAAACUACCGGCAUAGUUGCUACUUGAGGGUUGACUUGCAACUGAGACAACUACACAAACUUGAAUAUGAGUUAUGAGUCAAUGGUGCAACAAGGAAAACUACACAAAACUAUGAUACGAGUUGCAAGUCGAGGUCGGACUUGCAACUGGAACAACAACAAAACUAUGGGCCAGUUGCGAGUCAAGGGUGGACCUGCAACUGGAACCACUACGAAACUACAAGCCAGUUGCCAGUCAAGAGUGGAUUUGGAACUGAGAUGUAACAACCUACAGGCCUAGUUGCUAGUCAAGGGCGAACUCACACUACGAUGCCAUUUACGAGUCGAUGUUGGACUUGUAACUGAGACAAUAACAAACUAGAAUCCCAAUUGCGAGUCGAGUGUGGACUUGCAACUGGGAUGAAAACAAAACACAUAUCAGUUGCGAGUUGAGGAUGGACUUACAACUGGGGCAACUACGAGCCCAUUUGUGAGUCAAGGGUGGGCUUGCAACUGGGGCACCUACCACCCCCGGUUGCGAGUCAAGGGUCGACUUGCAACCGAGAGGAAAAAAAUUAUGGACCCAGUUGCAAGUCAAGGGUGGACAUGUAUCUGUGAUGAAAAAAAUACAGGGUCUAGGCUUGCAACUGGGACAACUACGAGCCCGGUUUGCGAGUUGACAGUGAUCCUUCAACUGGGACAACUACAAAACUACGAGCCUAGUUGCAAGUCAAGGGUCGACUUACAACUGUGAUGACACAAACUAUGGGCCCAGUUGCGAGUCAAGGGUGAACAUUCAACUAGGAUGAAAAACAAAGCACGGGCCGAGUUGCGAGUCAAGGGUGGACUUGCAACUGAGAUGACACAAACUAUGUGCCUAAUUGCGAGUCGAGGAUGGACUUGCAACCGGGACAACUACAUAAAACUACGAUAUGAGUUGCGAUUCGAAGGUGAACUUACAAAUGGGACAACUACACAAAAUUCCAACACGCAUCAUGGGUUGAGGGUGGACUUGCGGCUACGAUAACAAAAAAACUAUGGGCCCAGUUGUUUGUCGAGAGUGGACUGGCAACUGGCGAUAACUAUGCAACUACGAUCCCAGUUGCGAGUCUAGGAUGAACUUGCAACUUGGAUGAAACAAACUACGGGCCUAGUUAGUCGAGGGUGUACAUGCAAAUAGGACAAUAACAAACUACAAGGCCAGUUGCAAGUCGAACAUAGACUAGCAACUGGGAUGAAAAACAUAACACAUCUCCAGUUAUGAGUCGAGGGUGAACUUACAACUAGAACAACUACGAGUUCAUUUGUGAGUCAAGGGUGGACUUUACAAAUUCUCCUCCAGGACACAAAAACACAUAGUGAAAAUGAACAAAGAAAAUGAAAUGGAUUGUGCUCCCCAAAUGACGGCAUAUAUGUUCCCACGUGAAAAGAAACGUGAUAAAAAGCUGGCACGAAACAAAAAACUGGACAAGAGGAACCGCUGCAAAAGAGAACGAGCUGACACAUGUGCGCAUAAUCAAGUUUGUGCGAACAUUAAAGUUGGAAGGCUAUAGACCUAGAGUGAGACAUCACUAAAUCCCACUAGGUGAGAUUACAAAAACCAAAAGAAAAUAGAUCAAGUUAAAUUGUCCUUUAACUACACAACCAAACCAAAAUUAAAAACAGGGAAUAAAAAGACACGUGGCAAGGCAAGAGCAGAUAGCUACUAUUUAUACCGAAAUAAGAGGAUAUCUUGAUUCGUUAGAAGUCAAACAGGUAAAUAAAUUUUUGGAUGAGUUACGUAAACAUAUAAAAAAAUAUUAAACCUCAAUUUUAGGAAUUAUAUCUUCUAGCCAGACAUUCACCGAGCAAGCAGAAAUCCUUUUGAAAGAAGUUAUUCAGAAACAACUGAAACGGUUUUCCCCCUCCACAAAAAAAACCCAAUAUACAAACAUAAAAAUGGCCCACUAAAAAAGUCAUAUCGGGCUUCACAGCUUCAUGAGGGACGAACAGGAAACACGACACAAUGACAACCAGCACGACUUAGAAGCAAUUAUAGCUAAUGAUAUAUAAGUUAGAUGAGACAUUGUUAAUUCUUAUCUAGAUGAGAGUUAACGAAACCAAUCUAAAACGGCCCCAGAUAGCGCCAUGAGAACGUCCUAACAAAAGGCGCACACAUGAGCAAGGUCGACAAGUAGUCACCACACACGGUGUGACACGAAACCCAUGCGGCGGAACAACCCUCGCUCAAGAUUUGCAUGACAUUUAAAGCAAACAGAUGUCUAAGUGAAAAAUUCAUAAAUUAAAAAAAAGAAACUUGAAAAAUUCAUAAAUUUAAAAAAAGAAACUUGAAAAAUAUAAAUAAAAGAUAAAAAUCAUGUAUAUAAAAUAGUUCAUAAUUUAAAACAAAUAAUAAACAAAAAACAAAAACAAAAAAGCUAAAACAAUAAAAAAAAAGGAACGCAGCGGCCCAUAUAGAAGAAACAGAAAAAGACUAUAGUCUAUAAAAAGACAUGAGAAAAAGACCACAACCCAUAGAGUCGAGCGCAGCAGCCUAGAGUAGCUUGUCUCAAAAGAAAGAAAAAACUGCCUACUGUAGCGUAGUAUGAAACAGGAGGACAAAGCACGUAACGGAAAAAAACUUUGUGAGAUCGUACGCUUCAAAAGAACAUGAAUCCAUAAGUUUUUUCAUCAAACGUCUUUGCAGUUAUAUGUGAGAUAAGUAAUUCUCAUCUAGAUGUGAAUUAGCAAAUCUGAAUCACGAAGUCAUAAAAUCAUGCUAAAAACAUGCAAGUGCAGUCAUGAUUGUAACACUUCCCGACCAAAUUUUACAUCUGUGUUAAAAAACAUGUAGUUGCGGGGCAUGGACAACACUUGCACUUGCAACAACAACAACAACAAAAUUCAUAAUAUUUUAAAAAGUUCAUGAAUUCUAAAAAACAAAGGGACAAUAAAAUAACAUAAAAAUAGAAAAUUAUUGGUUGGCACACGCUUUAUCCAUUAACUUCACCGUGCAUGGACUUUAAUAAAAAAACAAAAUGACAAAAAAAACCACAACAUGAGGCCCGCGCCAGCAAAAUCAACGAGACAAAAUGCGGUCCUGUCAGCUCAGCCCCUCAGACAACGCACUCCAAAACAAGCAAAAAAAUAUGAGUGGCCGUGCACAGGGGCAUGUCCAACCGCUCCUCUUUUCACCUCCGAUCACCAAAAGAAAAAUUACAGCCCAUAAAACAUAUAAAAAGACAACUUAGCCCAGCUAAAGCCCAUCACUGGGCAACUUAACCCGAACACAGCCCAACAUGUUUCCCAGAGCGUGAUCGAGCGAGGUAGCGACAACAACAACGAGCUGACACGACAAAGAGCGCACGAAUCUUAACGUUUUACAUCGUGUGGUUGAGCAGUUAGAUGUGAGAUAACUAUUUCACAUCUAGAUGUGAAAUAGCAAAUCUGAACAUAAUAUACCACGUGUUGUCCUCUGCUUCUUGGUUACCCGUCGGGAUCUAAACCUGGACAAAGGUAACAACAGCCAGGCAGACCUAUCUAGGAUCUCUCCCGCAAUAACAUGCUGGCUAGACCUACGGUAUGCAUAGCACUGCUCUUCUUCCCCAUAAUUGGUGGUGCCGACUGGACAAAGAUGCGUGUACGACAAGCCGGGGCCAUCGUGGAGCAUCACCCAGAGUCGACAGACACCGGGUGAGAACUUCUGGCCCACUGACACCUUUGCUGCGUGUAUGCAUCAG